rnacentral:piRNA from 1 species
UGAAGCCACAAUGUACCAAGAGUACUAUGCU